GACGAACGCUGGCGGCGUGCUUAACACAUGCAAGUCGAGCGGUAAGGCCCUUUCGGGGGUACACGAGCGGCGAACGGGUGAGUAACACGUGGGUGACCUGCCCUCAGCUCUGGGAUAAGCCUGGGAAACUGGGUCUAAUACCGGAUAUGACUCCAUGACGCAUGUUGUGGGGUGGAAAGCCUUGUGCGGCUGAGGAUGGGCCCGCGGCCUAUCAGCUUGUUGGUGGGGNGAUGGCCUACCAAGGCGACGACGGGUAGCCGGCCUGAGAGGGCGACCGGCCACACUGGGACUGAGACACGGCCCAGACUCCUACGGGAGGCAGCAGUGGGGAAUCUUGCGCAAUGGGCGAAAGCCUGACGCAGCGACGCCGCGUGAGGGAUGACGGCCUGG
rnacentral:rRNA from 1 species